GUUCAUUUUCGUUUUUACACGGUUCGGAAGCACCCCUUGUGAGUCACGCACUCUUUUUUUUUUUAGAGGAAAAAUAUCGAAGGUCGAAACGAACCAAUGGCGUUUACUAGCGAGGUAUAAAUUUUUUUUACCUUGGCUAUAAAUUUCCGUGGUAUCGAAAAAAGCAGAAUGCCAAAGCGUUGAUAAAUUCGGUAAUAAUCUUAUAUAAAAACUUAAGUAGUUGUAUCGGAAGAAAUGUCGACAAAUAUAACGCAUUUUUCGCCACCAACCUGUUUUAUGUCGCAUUUCCUCGUAUCGGUUAUUUAUUUAUUAAACUGUCACUGUCUUCGUUAUUAACGGAAUUAAUCGACAUCCGUUUAGCAUUAAGCCUGUAGAUAAUAAAAACCAAUGGCCGCAUUAACUGUGGGCAUUUACGUUUAAAUAAAGAAACCAUCAGAAUCGACAAAAGCUUUCGGUCAAACAACCACUUAACUCUGUCGACAAUCCAAACACGAAAUGGCUUUGGUCGUUAACGGUCCGUCCAGUCAUUAACGUUGGAAGGGAUAUAAGAGUUAUCUUCCGUUUUCCACCAUCAGUCAUGAAGCCACUACCGGUGUGGAUUUUGGUGCUACUCGUCCUAGGAGCUGUAGGAAGCAGAAACUGGAGAGAAAGAACUGCGGAACGAACGGCAUGCGAUCGUGGACAACUAACCGACGCUUCUCAUCGACUGGAGGGAAACUCUACUCAACGUUCUUGGAACAGUUCCAUCCGGAAACCUGUACCUUCGUCUAAUCAGGACGAUUAAUUGAAAACUAAUAAAGUAUCGAAUAUGUAAAGAAUUUUCUUUUUCCUCAUUUUUCUACGGGCUGGUCACUGCUAAAGUCGGUGGCAAUUACUACCGGCCUAGUUCGCUCAGAUCGG
rnacentral:lncRNA from 1 species